rnacentral:rRNA from 1 species
AGAUUGGUCCCUAUCUGCCGUGGGCGUUGGAAGAUUGAAGGGGGCUGCUCCUAGUACGAGAGGACCGGAGUGGACGAACCUCUGGUGUUCGGGUUGUGUCGCCAGACGCAUUGCCCGGUAGCUAAGUUCGGAAUCGAUAACCGCUGAAAGCAUCUAAGCGGGAAGCGAGCCCUGAGAUGAGUCUUCCCUGAUACUUUAAGUAUCCUAAAGGGUUGUCGGAGACUACGACGUUGAUAGGUCAGGUGUGUAAGUGCUGUGAGGCAUUGAGCUAACUGAUACUAAUUGCCCGUGAGGCUUAACCAUACAACACCCAAGGGGUUU